GACCCAUUAGCAGGAUGUUGUGCAAUAUGGUGCUUGUCAUCUGUUUCAAAGACACAGUGAUGAGAUACAGAGACUGGCACAUCAGCAAGAAAAGUUUUCUUCUUGGAGAGAAAUACUGCAAAGCAUCCAAGACAAGAGGAGACAACAUGACCCAGCGAAUACUUUCCUUUCCCUGGCACAUACUUGAGGAUCAGAUCUCUCACAGUAGGUGCCUACAGAGGACAGAUGCUUAACUCAGAACACACAGCCUGGCUUGCCGGAUGAUUUUGAAAGAGUCUAGAAGGUUGACAAUGUUAAAAUCUUCAGGACAGCUUGCAAAGUGUCUGCUACUAUUGCUCUGGAGUUAAAAGUAACCUUGGAAACAUUUCUCCAUGGUAGUAAUCGAGGUGAUUCUUCCAUCCCUCCUCAAAAAUGGCAGUAUAUCGUUCCUAUCUUUCCUCCUCAAACUCUGCCCAGCAGGCUUCUGAAGACCUUUUUAAGGUGGGUGUUAUCCUUUUUAUUUUCUUCUUAUUUGAAUAUUUCAUCUCAAACUUCACAGGGAGAUGACAAUCUCCCAAGUGCGUGAAACCAGCCAGGAGUGUUUUAUACAUAUAUUGUAAAGCAUUUGAUGUAAUCUGCACCAUGAUUAUACAUAAAUAAGUAAAGAAAAUCUUUUUAAAAUCACCUUUGUAUUGGGAUGAGUGGGUCUUUACUGAAGAUGUCAUACAAACUAAGAGAGUUCUAAAGGUGAGAAAUUCAGGCCCUUUAAAGAGUAUUUGAAAUAAAACCGAGGACGCAUAGACAUUAUAAGUAUUAGUUUUAUUAUUAGAGUGAAGAAAUGAUUGUCAGAAUUAUUUCCUGAGUGAUUUAAAAGUGCUAAUAGAAGUACUGAGCCAUAUUCGGAUUACAGUUUUGUAAAUUGGAAAUAACUUAAUGAUAUGAGUUCAUUAAAAGGGAGAUGGCAUCAACCUUGCCAUAUUCAGGCACCGUUCAAAGAGAUGUAAGUAUUUCAAUAAAAGACAGACACAUAACAAAA